UACGUAGGGGGCAAGCGUUGUCCGGAAUUAUUGGGCGUAAAGAGCGUGUAGGCGGCCAGGUAGGUCCGUUGUGAAAACUGGAGGCUUAACCUCCAGCGGUCGAUGGAAACCAUCUGGCUAGAGUCCGGAAGAGGAGAGUGGAAUUCCUGGUGUAGCGGUGAAAUGCGCAGAUAUCAGGAAGAACACCCGUGGCGAAGGCGGCUCUCUGGGACGGUACUGACGCUGAGACGCGAAAGCGUGGGGAGCGAACAGG
rnacentral:rRNA from 1 species